GACGAACGCUGGCGGCGUGCUUAACACAUGCAAGUCGAACGGAGUGGGGAACGGGUGAGUAACACGUGGGUGACCUGCCCUGCACUUCGGGAUAAGCCUGGGAAACUGGGUCUUAUACCGGCAAGGGUGGGAUGGGCCCGCGGCCUAUCAGCUUGUUGGUGGGGUAGUGGCCGACGAAGGCGGCGACGGGUAGCCGGCCUGAGAGGGUGGACGGCCACAUUGGGCCUGCGACACGGCCCAGACUGCUACGGGAGGCAGCGGUGGGGAGUAUUGCACAAUGGGCGGAAGUCUGUGGCAGCGACGCCGCGUGGGGGAUGACGGCUUUCGGGUUGUAAACUCCUUUCACCAUCGACGCGGUAGAUGGAGAAGAAGCACCGGCUAACUACGUGCCAGCAGCCGCGGUAAUAC
rnacentral:rRNA from 1 species